rnacentral:rRNA from 1 species
AGAGUUUGAUCCUGGCUCAGAUUGAACGCUGGCGGCAUGCCUAACACAUGCAAGUCGAACGCGAAAAUACCUUCGGGUAUGAGUAGAGUGGCGGACGGGUGAGUAAAGCGUAGGGAGCUGCCCGAUAGUGGGGGAUAACCAUUGGAAACGAUGGCUAAUACCGCAUGAUGUCUACGGACCAAAGAGGGGGACCUUCGGGCCUCUUGCUAUCGGAUGCGCCUACGUGGGAUUAGCUAGUUGGUGAGGUAACGGCUCACCAAGGCGACGAUCCCUAGCUGGUUUGAGAGGAUGAUCAGCCACACUGGGACUGAGACACGGCCCAGACUCCUACGGGAGGCAGCAGUGGGGAAUAUUGGACAAUGGGGGCAACCCUGAUCCAGCCAUGCCGCGUGUGUGAAGAAGGCCUUCGGGUUGUAAAGCACUUUCAGCGAGGAGGAAAGGUGGGUAAUUAAUAACUGCCUGCUGUGACGUUACUCGCAGAAGAAGCACCGGCUAACUCCGUGCCAGCAGCCGCGGUAAUACGGAGGGUGCGAGCGUUAAUCGGAAUUACUGGGCGUAAAGGGCACGCAGGCGGCCUGUUAAGUUAGAUGUGAAAGCCCCGGGCUUAACCUGGGAAUGGCAUUUAAGACUGGCAGGCUAGAGUCUUGGAGAGGGGGGUGGAAUUUCCGGUGUAGCGGUGAAAUGCGUAGAGAUCGGAAGGAACAUCAGUGGCGAAGGCGACCCCCUGGCCAAAGACUGACGCUCAUGUGCGAAAGCGUGGGGAGCAAACAGGAUUAGAUACCCUGGUAGUCCACGCCGUAAACGAUGUCAACUUGGGGUCUGUGGUCAUGCACUGUGGAUCCCGGAGCUAACGCGUUAAGUUGACCGCCUGGGGAGUACGGCCGCAAGGUUAAAACUCAAAUGAAUUGACGGGGGCCCGCACAAGCGGUGGAGCAUGUGGUUUAAUUCGAUGCAACGCGAGAACCUUACCUACUCUGACAUCCAGAGAACAUUGCAGAGAUGCAUUGUGCCUUCGGGAGCUCUGAAACAGGUGCUGCAUGCUGUCGUCAGCUCGUGUUGUGAAUGUUGGAUAGUUCCCGCAACGAGCGCACCCUAAAUCCCUU